AGAUCUGAGCUGAGGGAGAAAGGUUCUUAGACAACAUCAAAAGCACGCUUUGUGAGAAGGUUUGUAAAUUAGACUUCAUUGGAAUUUUUUAAAACCUUUGCGCUGGGAAAAUCCUUGCUAACAGGAUAAAGAAAACAACGAUGAUGGGGCUGGGGAUUUAGCUUAGCUGCAUAAGCGUGCCUGGCAAGUGCAAGGUCUUGAGUUUGAUCCCUGGUACCACCAAUAAAUAAAUAAAUAAAUAAAUAAAUGAGAGAGAGAGAGGGAGAGAGAGAACAGUGACAGGAUGAAAGGGAAUUUCUGCAAACCACUCACCUGAUAAAGGACUCAGCUCUCAGAGUGAGAACCAUCAAAUGAACUCCAGCCAAGACAUGAAGGGCAGGUGCAUCCGGAUGGCACAAAGAGCCUGAAAGACCCGAGACCUCUUCUCCUCUUAAUUAGUGGACACAAACCAGAGCACAGGGUAUCCCCCCUGGUGCACCUAUGGUCCAGGACCUAAGGCCAGGGCUCUGGUGUGAACUGUGGCCAGGAGCCCGUCAGUCAGGUCAGUUCACCCUGAUUAAGACCCUUCCCUGGAGACUCACAGCUUCUCCUCACACCUUCCCUGCCCACCCCCAGGGCUCCCCCUCUCUCCCCUGUGACCUUGUUAGAUGGACUUUGUCACCCUCAGCUCAGUGCCCAGCCACUCUCACUGCUGACCGCCUAUCCCCAGAUUGCUGUUCCGUGCGGGCUCCUGCAGGCUGUGUACCUGAGGAUUUUUUGGUUGUCGCUGGAUUUGGGCUUUUACACAUCAGGCUGUUCUCACAUUCCCGUACAGGUGCUGGCAUGGAAGUAAGUUUUCAUCUCUGCGAGGAUAAAUACCCGGAGUACCACUGCCGAGCAGCCUCUUGGGCAUGUGUGUGUUUAUUCCCCGAUACACCAGCCCAGCUUCCAGGUGCCAGGCCUUCCUGCUAAAUUCACAAAGCCUGAGGCGCUUUCUCCUGGCCAAGAAAAGAGAUAGCCUGGGGGGGGGCCCACCUGUCCCUCCCCGCUCAGAGGCAUGUGGCCCCAGCCCCGAGGGUUCACCAGUGGCUUGGUGGCUUCCUCUCACUGCACUGUGUGCAUCUGUAGCCAUAUGCAGUUCCAAGAGUCCUUGUACCCGGAGCCCUGUCACCUGUUACCACACAGUCGCUCUUAGCUCUUCGUGCCUAGCCUGAUCUAAUAGAAGGGGACCCAAGUGACAGAUAACACUGUAUCCACCUUUCUGUCAGUGUACUUACCGCCAGCACUCUGCUCUGGUGGGGUGACCAUCAUGGAUGUAUAUGGGCAAUUCUUACCUUUCAUGACAUUUUCUCUGUCCUCCUCCUGCAGGAUCUCUGUUACAUCUGGAGAACUCUCUGCAGCCUCGCAGUGACCUGUGGCCAUCUCUGUUCAUACGGGGUUGGUAUAUGGGUCUGGGAGCCACCUGUGGACUGAAGAUGUUUCAUCCAGGCAGCUGCCAGAGGUUGAGAGGUCUGAGUCCACUUAGGUGCUGGAGGAUACAGGCAGGACUGCAGGGUAUGGGGUGGGGGGUGGAGCCCACCUUCGGUCGGUCUACCCAGCAGCAAGGCAUGUCCGUGGCUUCUUUCCACACCCGUGUUGUCUAGAGCAUGCACUAAGUGGUCUCUUCCAGGCAGCACUUUAUGAGCGCUCCUGCACAGCCUAUGCUUGGCCCAGUGUCUCUGUUCACCAUACUCUGGUGCCCGGAUGCUCGGCCACCGCAUAAACCCUUCCAGCCUCUUCCCGAGCCACAGGAACUGUGCCUGUCACCCACUGGCAUCUCGCUGGGUGCAGAAUCUUCCUCCUGAGCCCUCAAGAUGUGCCAGGUAGCAGGAAAGCGGGAGGGGACCCUUCACAGAAGGGAAAGGGAGCGGGAGGAGGAGGGAACAGAGGGAGGGCAUGAGAGACACAAGCCGGUCACGAUGGCCCAGGCUCUCAGAGGAUGUAAGAGGUGUGCUCAGAAAUGGACCAGUGGGACAGCCAGAGGCGCUGUACCCGCACCUCACAGAACCCUUACCGCGUCACCACCUCCUCUGGGGCAAUCCUGUCAGGCCUGCAUUUGUCCUUGUCCUGAGUGAAAGCAGGUCGUGAGAGUUCUGGGGUCCAGUCCAAAGUCAGGGAUCAGAAUGCAGGGCCAGGACUCAGCAGAGCCGGCCACAGACACUGGAGCUUCCUUCCUUGCUCUCUACCUGACUUAGCCUUGGUUUCCCUAUCUGUGAAAGGGGCGAGUCACCCUCCUGCCUUGGACAUCAUUGUAAGGUUGACCCAACAGAUCUGCCUGUGUUCCUGGAGUCACCAGGAAGCACAGGCCUCUCGGCUGUGGCCUGCUCCUCCCAGCUCCAGCGGCUUAGAGCAAGCAGCGGAGCCAGCACCUUCAGCCUCAGGUCCUCACAGGAACACAGAAGUGCGGGAGGCAGAGCAGGGAGGGUGGCUCUCCUCUGCGAGCCACCAAGGUUUCCGAGAGGAAGCGCUAUGCUGUCAGCCUGCAUCUGCCCCUGGUGAGGACUGCAGUCGGGUCCCCUGGCAGUGACAUCUCGCACAUGGAAGCUUUCCCCCACCAGGCCCCGCUAGCCUUGCUCUUCCGCUCCUAGAAACGCAGUCAUCAGAUUUGACAGUCAGUGUCAGAGUCCGCAGCCGCUCACUCUGAAGACCGCAGUUCUCCCAGCGCUGAAGGUUCCGAGGUGCUGCCUGCCCACUGGUGACUGCUGGCCAUGUCCCGAGAGCCCUGGUGUGGACAGCAGCUGUCUGCCUGUAGGCUGGUCUCCAUUAAAGAACAUCCCCAAUAUUGAAAUGCUGGGAUCCUCAUUCCCAGUGCAAUGGUGUCAGGGUGCCUUUGAGGUUGGACCACUCCUGUGCCCUUGGAGGGGCCCCAGAGAGCUCUGCCCCAGGGAUCCCAUGUGAAACACAGUGAUACCCAGCACACGGUGGCUGAGGUGAGCCUCGGCACGCCACACUUGCUCUGAGACUCACCCUUCACAGGUCACCAUGCAUCUGUGGGGUUUCCUUACAGCAGCUCAAGGGCCUGAGACUGCAGGGCAGAUGAGCACAUCUGCAUCUGGUGGAGCUCACGAAUGCUGAAGAGCAGCCACAAACAGUGGUCCAAGGGGCGACCAUUCCUACCCUACGUGGGCCUGGCUGUGCACCCAGGGCUUGAGUACUGGCGCUGGCCCACGGCUGGGUGCCCAGUCUGCAGCUCUGAGUCCUAGCAAGAACAUGGGCUCCCCAGGCCUUUGGGGUGGACAGGGUGGGGGCCUGUUACUGAAUCCCUAAGGCCCUAUUAAGGGGGCAAAACAAAGCGAAACCAAACAAAAACCCUGAUGCCAGCACUGUGUCCUAGGAUCUUCCUCUUUAGGGUGCAGGGCCUUCUCUGAACCCAGUUUAUCAGCAGCCCUCGGCCUCCACAUUAGUAGAGGGUGCAGUUGAGCUGAUUAUUUUGCAGUGGGGAGACUGAGGCUUGUAGUCUCAGCACUGUGGUGCAGCACAGGUCCUGAUGACCAACCAGGUCCAGAGAUGAACCGUAAAAGUUCUGCAGGAAGAUUGCUGCUAUCUGCCCCCAGCAGCCAAUCACCUCCAAAGGAUGCUCUGUCCACAGCCCGCUCUGGUCUCCACCUGGGGACCAAGCUUCCUCACGUAAAAGGCUUUGGCCAAUUCGGGAAAUGAAGCUCUGGCUUGGUGUGUGGCAUCCUGGCUUUGGAGAAGCUGAAACCACGUGGCCAGUUUGGGAUGGAGCGGGGCAGUCCUGCUGAACCCCACAGGUCUCUGCUCCUCCACUGAGUGAUGGAUCUGGGAACUGUGCUGAGCAAAACCCCAGGAAUUGUGCAGGUUUAUUCCACCUCUCCUCCCAGGGUGCUCCCCGAGAGGUGCUGGGGUGGGAGUGCACUCGGCCCCUUUCCUGUGCUGCAUCCAAACCUGACAGAGAACGGGCAUUGCACUCUGGCUCUUCUGCCCCUCUCCUCGUGCUAGUCAUCGUCCGUUACCCUUUGGACAAAGCCGCCUUGCGGGUGCUCACACUCAGGUCAGCUGCUCUGAGCCUGGGGUGGACUGGACAGUGGCUGCCCAGGAGAGGACAGUAAUAGGGACCAUGCACUGUGUUCCGAAUUCUCCAGUGACGGCCUCUUGUUCUGCUUUACUCAGCACCAGGCUGGAGCCAGGAGCAGCUGCUGACCCAGUAGCAAGGAGGCUGAGAACUGCUUGGUUCUAGGCUCAAGAAAAGUAAGAUAAAAUUUUCAAAAAGCUUUUAAAUUCAGUGGCCAGUUACAGUUUAUGUUAUUACACUUUUAAAAAAUAGGCAAUGAAUUAAAACACUGAAAAGGAAUUAGAAAAACAGGAUCAGUCAAAAAAAGGAUUUUGGUGAGACACUUUUCAAACUUACUGCUUUUAAACUUAGGCUCAGAGGUUCUUAAUUUUUCACUUAUUUUUGAAGUUGUCCCCUCUCCAUCCCUGUCCAGGCUUGAAGCCUCUGGGGGGAGAGGGCUGUGUCCCCUUCCAAAUUAUCCUAUGGUCUCCUCAGUACACAAGUGGUUUAGUGGCCUCUCCUGCCCAGCUGGCAGCCUUGGCUCUGUGCCCUGGCUCUGCCUGGCCUGUAAGCAGUUCACCCUACAUCACUCCCGGAAGUCCUGGCCACAGGAGGGAGAGACUUACCUGCUCCAAAGAAGCCAGCGAGAAAGCAUUCAGAACUUACAGUCUGGGAAACCGGGGACUGGAGCUGGAUCCACAUGCCCAGGCCGCUGGGCAGGAGAAAGCUGACCAGGCUGUGUAGACAAGGUCUUGGAUUAACACUGGGAGUCCCAAGUGCAAGUUCUUGCUGUGUAAAUUUUUUAGCAAACUUUGAAAACUGCCUGAGCUCCUCGUGUCCUGUCCAUCCAGUUAAGCAUGAGGCCAUCUGAUCCUGGAGCAGCACUGCUAUCUCAGAGCCUGUGAGAAGACGCUGGCGCAGCGCAAGGCACUGCGUGUCUGACAGGAGGUCCCCGGCCAGGAGAGCCCCAGCAGCCUCUGUGUCGUGGCCACCUGCAUUGCUAGCGGCUCCUGCUCCACAUGGAAGUCUUGAGCGCCUUCUAGGGCUCCCAGAAGCCAUCCCUGCAUCCUGAGCUGGGCUGUUCUUCAGCCCCACUCCUGCUGCACUGUAAUACCUCUCAGAGCGGGGCUAAAAGAGCCAUUGAGGUACCCGUCCCCCAGAGAAGGCCGAAGGAGUAGAGCUCAAAAAGCAGAUGAAAGUUGCUUGAAAGGCUUCAAAGAGGAAGACGGGUCUAAUCCCCCAAAGCUUCCUUUCAAUCCUUAUCCCUUCAUUUCAGAAAGUGGCCCAGGGCUUUUAAAAUGCCCAAAUAUCACUUUACAGCUUGGGGUCAUGAUAGAGAGCAGUCCCCAUUGCCGCAAGGGCUCCUCGAGGCUGCACCUCCUUUGCAAAGAGCUGGCACUAGAGGGUGGGGCCCCUUCUGGGGUCUAGGGUGCGGGGCAGCUGUCCUGGGGCUCCAGGCCUGGAGCUGCAGGAUAACGACCACCUGGGGAAUCCCUGAAAGCAGCUGAGUCAGGCCUUUCCCAGUUACUUCUGGGCGAGGCUUGCAUGUCUGUCACCAUGUGGAAGAACGCCCAGUCCUGCUACUAGGCAGCUUGGGAGUGAGAGAGUCCAAAGGAGGAGGAAAACAAGGCCACGGGUACAGCCAGUGUUCACUGCCCCAAGAGCAGUUCUGGUGCCUUCAUGGGCCCAGGGAGGCCAGCCCCUUUCCACACCCUUCCGCUGCCCAUGAAGAAGCUCAGUGUAACCCAUAGCCUGGGUCAGCACCAUGACAGUCAGAGACCAGCGCUGGGCCCAGAGCUGUGCCCAAGGCUGCACACAGCGCCGUGGCGGAGGCGCCUACAAGAGCUCUUUUCCACUGCUGAGAGUGGGGUGGAGAUGGGGUCACGAAGGGUCACAGCUACUUGGUGUUUGAUGGGGACUUGAACUUAGGUCUGUGCCUGAGACCUUUCCCAGUCGGACACUGAGGCUGCUGUCCCCAUGGUGGGGUGGCAUGGUCAUUGGCAGUGGCUCCGGAGACCCGGGCCGGUGGUUCACCCCACUCAGGAUCUCAUCUCAAGCUUCCCUGGCGACCUCGGCCCCUCCAUGGCCACCUCUGCUCUUCCGAUUCCCCCUCUCUCUGCAGCAGCUCAGCCUAGCCUCCAGCCUGGCCACAGAAUCUCCUGGGGUCCACUGAGUUGAAGGGCAGUGACAGGCAUCCUGCUGACCCGGCCAUCAGAGACCACAGCCCCAGAGUAAUCGCAGGGACCCUGCCCCCAGGCCUCUCCUUUAGAGAGGAGAUAAAAAUAGUGAAGAAACAACACUUCCCUCCUUCCCUGAAAGGCUGGCAACCUUCCAGGAUGGACUUAUGUACUUUUUGUACUUGGAGGAAAAAAGAGAUGGGAUUUGGUCCAAGAAUGGUCCUGCAAGCAGGAGAAAUAUGGAGCCGGCAGCUGGAGCGAGGCGGCCGAGUGGUACCGCCAGCUGCAGGCCCAUUAAUUAGCGGGCCUGGUAUGCGCGGUUCCCGUGACCCCGGUUCUUGUUGAAUUCGCAGAGAUAAUUUUCACAGAGCCUGACUUUCUCCCUGCCGUAUAUUUAUCCAAGAGGUACCUUGUCCGUUUCCCCUCAUCUCUCUGUGCAGUAAAUUUAUUCUAAUUGCAAAGAGAUAGAGUAAAAGCCUGAUUGAAUGCUAGGUGGUUUAUAGAGAUUUAUUUCGGGGGCUUAAGGGGUUUUUAGAGUGUGUGGCGAGAGCAGGGUUGGGGGUGCUGGGGAAAGAGCCCAGGAGAAAAUGUAGAUUUAAUGGAUCUAUAAAACGACCCGGCCGUAGACAAGGCUGAAGCAGCCUGGCCCAUACCCAGGUUAGGCUGGAAGUAUCGGUAGGGUUUUGGGGUUUCGGGGUGAACAGUAUCACUCCCCAGGCAGGAGGGGUCUCUUUUCCCAAGGGAAGAAAGUGCAAGAACCUCACAUUUCUAAGCAAACCUCUAGCACCUGCCUUGAGGACCCUGGCUGACUCCCUGAGUGCCCAGGUCAUGGCAGACACUUGUGAGUGCCAGGAUUUCUGACCCUGGCUCUGAGGAGUCAUCCCCCUGGAGCCCCGUGUCCUCUCAGGCUCCUGGGGAUAAAGAGUCUCUACUCUUUCACCUGCCUGCGGCUGGGUGGAGGCUCACUCUGCUGAACUUUUCCCCCAGAACCUUCAAGGCUCCUGAUCCCAGGAGUGACAUCCGUCUCUUUUGCAGCUGCUCUGCAAGUUGUGCUGGGGAUGAAUUUAGGACUUUCAACUGCUAAGUGGGUUCCAUUGUAAAUCUAAUCCCGGCUGUAAUGGAGACGUUUGCUCUGGAGGAAGAGGCCUUGCUGGGGGAGCAGGCCAGAAGGAGGGUGACUGCACCCCCUCUUGGGCCACAGGCAGAGGGCUGGGUCAGGUCAGAACCACCCUGACUUCCGUUUUUUCCAGGAGUUGGCAGAAGAAGACCGCAGGGAAAUGGCCAGGCUUCUUGAUGGUGAAGUGUGACACUCACCCAGGAAAACGCAGCUCUGGUGAGGCCUACGCCAGCAGGCAGGGCCCCUGGGAGGCCCCAGAGCUCAGGCCUCCUGAGUUAGGAGUGGCUGCUGCGCUCAGGGCCAGCACUGUCCAGCUCUUGGCAUGUGGCUCUGCAGACUGUGCUCCUUUCAGCGCAGGAGGUCCCGGCUGUGCUGGCUGCCAGUGGGUGUCUGUGACGUCCAGCCUGGGGACACUGCCAGUCAGCUGCAUGCAGGCCGCUGUGGUAGGCCUGUCUGCUGUCCUGGAUAUCAGGGACACUGAGUUUACUGUGUCAGUGACCACUCUCAGCCCCAGUGUUGUCUCUGCUCCCUGCAUCUCCCUAUACCACAAAGCUCAGGAGUCACGGCAGAGCCCUUGUUCCCGGGUCAGGUCCCAGGCAUCCAUCUCAGCCUCCCAGGGUUAACCUCGGCCUCCUGAGACAUGGUGUGCACCUGGCUCUUCUUUUCCUGCCUCACACUCAAGCUUCCUGGGACCCAAAUGAGCUUCCUGCAUCCCUGUCUUUGUCUCCUGGGAGCUUCCAGGGGUCACAGUGCUGUGUGACUCCUCAGUCCUGUGACCUUCAGGGAGAACUUGCCUUGCCCGGGUCAAGGGUCACAGUGCAUCCCUGGUCCCCUAACUAUUCCUGGGGAGACGAAAGGAGAGGUUAGUGCAGUCUGGAUACAAGUGAUAUUUCUAGCACCCUGGUUUCUGUCCUCCUCUGCACAAAGUUGGCGAUGGGGUGCACAGACACAUUUCCACUCCAGCUUUUGGUCAGGACACAGAUGUAUAAAGAACUCUCAUGAUCACUGUGAUGACAACUUCAUUCUGCACAAGAGUUAGGGAUACAGAGCACUCUCAGACCUGAGGAGGUCAGCAGCUCACCAGGAAGGGGUCAGAGGGCUUCAAAGGCAGAGACAGUAAAAAGGUUUGAACCCCACCACACCAAACUCACUGUCUCCCCAAGGUCUGUGUUCUCCCAGGGAGGCAGCAAGCACAGAGAGAGAAGCCCGGGGACUCCAGGUCAAGCCUUCAGUGCCUGUCCCCAAGUGUCUGGAGUCCAGGCCUCGCCCUCAGCUCUCAUCUGCCCACACAUUCACCGAACACUUGCCCUGUGCCAGGCCUCUUGGGAGCAGAUUGGCAGCUAUGCACAAAAAGAAGUUUCUAUAGUGUAAAUCUGGAGGUCACCGCAGAGCCUCCAAUGCUCAGAGGGGGGCUUUGGAAAGGUGAUUGACCUAUGGGGUGUUACGGUUUGUGUUUAAUUGUCCCCCAAAGCCUCAUCCAGUUGUAGGGGGCGGGCCUUUCGAAGGCACCUGAGCCUAGUGUUUGUGAUUGGCUCCUUGUCUGGUGCUGGGAUUGGCCGUGCCAGCACUAUACCCGCCCAGGGGCGGAGCCGGCAUAUUUUAUAAGGGAGGGAAGGCAGCUUGUGCUCUUCCCUUUCGCGCUUUCUGUUCUUGUUGUUUGCAGCUGCCAUGAACAGCUGCCCCUCAUCCACGCCACCCUGCCUUGCAGCCAGCUGUGUGGACGGAAACCUCCAAAAACUGUGAGCUAAAUAAACCUUUCUUUGCUUCACUUUAGGCACCUGGUAUUUUGUCUCAGCAACAAAAGAAAAGUCAUGAAGUCAUGAAAAACCAAGACAUGAAGUAGCUAAAUGUGCUCUUAGGAGGUAGACUCUGCUCGGAUGAGGCCGGUCACUGGCUUGUGUCUCUUCCUGCUUCCUCUCUUCUCUCACUCUGCUUCCUCUCUUCUCUCACUCUGCUUCCUGUCUGCUCAAGGUGAGCAGCUGUCCUCCAUCAGACCCUUCCACCAUGCUUCUUCUGCCUGGAGUCUGACCAAACAAGGAUGGAAUCUGCGGGGCCCAAACAAACUUCACUAAAGCCAUGGGGAUUGGGAAUUGUGUCUCAGUGAUGGGAAGAUGACUAACACAGAGCUAAUAUGCAUACCCCUCAUUCUAGGCCCAGCAGCACCUCAGGGAAGAAUAUUUACCAAGGUUGAGCCAGGCCUCACCUGGAGCAAAGACACUUCCUGCUGGCAACUGACCAGCCAGGCUCUAACAAGGAGUAAGAAAGAAUCUUCUAGAAUGUUCCACACUCUUCUCUGUAGGGGCACCUCCUAAACUCAUCACUACUCAAAGGCAGCUGCCCUAGGGCUCCUUCUCUACAUUAGCCUCAACAGCCCUCCAAGUGCAAAUCCCUUUUUAAAAAUACAGUAUCAAUAUUAUUACACCAUGGAUCUGUACAGUGUACUUUGUAGACUCCCUGGAGGCUAACAGGCCUCAGAAACAGAUCUGUGGGGUGAGUGUCCUUCACUAUGACUGACGAGACUUGAUCCAAUAGUUUUGUGCCCCUCUUUUUUCAGGAGAGCAACCUUCUCAUUUUCACAUCCCUAUCUUGUGAGUUUGAACAGCCUCCUGCUCUGCAGCUCCCUUGUUUGGGCAGCACCAUCUGCGAUGGUCAAAACCCUCCUGUUGGGUCGAGGCUGUGAUUUCCAGCUGCCCUCCCCUGCACACUGCUUGCAUAUACCCAGUUUGGGCUGGGUCCUCUCACCACACAUGGUCAUGGAGUCCCAGAAUCCUCUCCUCCUGGCCAACUGCUCUUCCUGAUAGUUCUCUUUCUAUGAAUGGGAUCAUUUUCCCAUUCAGAUGUGCUCUGCAUCUUUCCUUUUCCUUGUCUCCUACAUCUGCAUAACUCAAACACUGGACAGAUUUCCCUGCCACGGGCGUCUCCAUCACCAGCUCUCUGGUUCGGGCCCUGUUCAGCAUGGACCUGGUUGCUUACUGCAGCUGCCAUCUUGGGUCCCUCACAGUGGGGUCUGCUGUCUCCCUCUGUCGUCUGGAUCCUUCUCAUUGGGUGUGUUUUCGGUCUGGUCACUGGUCGUAAGCUCCCUGAAGAAUCCCUUGGUCUAAUGCAGUACCUGGUACAUGGCAGACACUUAGUAAACCCGGAUUGAAUUGGUUAUUUCUCUGCUGAAAUGUUCCAGUGGCUUCUUAUUCUCUACAGGGGGGCAUCCCACCCUGCCUCUUGAGUCCCCCAAGCGGCUGCCACUUAACCUUCUACUAUCAUUUGCCCUUGGUGCCAGUGUCCCAGUGAAGCAGACCCCGGCUUUCCUGCACGCACUCUACACAUGCACCCCACUGUCUUUCCUUCUCCUUUGGAAUGCACGUUAUUAAAGUGCUCGGCAUAACGCUUAUCUUUUUUUCCUAAAUGUAACCUUUUAAUUGAUAAGGCUGUAUUACUUUUGUGAUUUAAAAACCUCUUAAGUGUUUUAAAUUCAGUAUGUUUGAAAUAUUUAAUGAUAAAAUGGGAGAGAGGAGGCAAAAGGGAAGUAAAAAGGAUCAAGAUGCAAUACCCACAGCUACCAAUUCCCCCAGUGAAUGUCUUCCAUUUUUUGUUGCACAAAUACACUAAUAAAAAAGGAGGAAAAAGGAAAAAUAUUUACUUGAAUUUCCCCUGAUCUGAACAGUUAUAUGGGCAUUUAAAAUAUAAUUGUGGUUAUUUAUAUACUGUUCUUUUAUAUUUCAUAUGUUUGAGAUUUUUAUAUAAAACUUUAAAAAUGUACAGUUACAGUCAUGCCUAAUAUAAAGGUGUUUGCAGAAGGAUGGAGUAGUUGGUGGUGGCGUUCACAGUCUUCCUGGUUCUCCCGUUUCCAAGCGUGCUCCCCAAACCCCAUGGAGCUGAAUGUGCCCUGGAUGAACUCUGGUCCAUCCCAAGCGAGCUGCAGCUGUUCGUGCUGCUCAGAGCUGAAAGUCUCUGAGCCCCAGGUGUGGCGGCUGCACGUCCUCUCCUGACGGGCACUGGAGUCAGUAGGAAAAGCCACUGAGCGUGGGGCUGCUUGUUGCUACUCAUCCUGGUUGAUACGGAUGGACAGACGCAGCAGAAUAAGUCACCCCUCCGACUGUCACAGAGAAACAAGGACAUGAGAAGCAGUCUCGUGGCAAAGAAAGAUCGUGUGGGGAGGGCAGGCUACGAGAGCAUCUGCAGACUUCCCAGGAGCAGCAGUGAACACAGAAGACGGUGGAAAUGGUCAUGGCGGCUGUGAGAAGAGGCUGCCAGUGCCUGGCUGGGAAAUCUGUCCAUCACAAAUACGGACCUGCUGUUACAUGAUUCUUCACCUGUCAGCACUUCCCAAGGCUAUCUGAGCACAGGAAGCCAGGUGUGGUGGCAGACACCUGUUAUCCCGGCACUCGGGAGGCUGAGGCAGGAAGAUCCUUACAGGUUUGAGACCAGUCUGGGCUACAAAGUGAGCUCAAGGUCAUGGAAUGAAUCUCUGGGGUCUAAGCUGUGGUUUCUGUAGGCUUAUGAUUCUACUUCACAAGAGACUUCCACUAUAAGCCUUGCAGCCUAGGUUUCAGCCUUCCGGCCUGGACUCCUCGGCGCUCCAUCACAGACCCACUGGCCUCCUGAUACGGACUCGCAUGGAUACUGCAGUGCGCUGUAGACCUGGACUGCGCCCUUCAGGCUCCAGUGUGCAGAUGCCCUCCACAUGCUUCCUUAUCCGACCCUGUGGCUGACCACUGCUAUAAGUUAUUACACAUUUGUAUGUCCCGUAUCAUAUCUGU